UAGGGAAUAUUGGGCAAUGGAGGCAACUCUGACCCAGCAACGCCGCGUGAAUGAAGAAGGUUUUCGGAUUGUAAAGUUCUGUUCUAAGGGAAGAAAAAAAUGACGGUACCUUAGAAGAAAGCCACGGCAAACUACGUGCCAGCAGCCGCGGUAAUACGUAGGUGGCAAGCGUUGUCCGGAAUAACUGGGCGUAAAGGGAGUGUAGGUGGUUGGAUAAGUUAAAUGUGAAAUCCUGGGGCUUAACCCCAGAACUGCAUUUAAUACUGUUUGGCUAGAGUGCAGGAGAGGAUAGCGGAAUUCCUAGUGUAGCGGUAGAAUGCGUAGAUAUUAGGAGGAACAACGGAGGCGAAGGCGGCUAUCUGGACUGUAACUGACACUGAAACUCGAAAGCGUGGGGAGCAAACA
rnacentral:rRNA from 1 species